rnacentral:rRNA from 1 species
UACGAAGGGGGGCUAGCGUUGCUCGGAAUCACUGGGCGUAAAGCGCACGUAGGCGGAUUGUUAAGUCAGGGGUGAAAUCCUGGAGCUCAACUCCAGAACUGCCUUUGAUACUGGCAAUCUCGAGUUCGGGAGAGGUGAGUGGAACUGCGAGUGUAGAGGUGAAAUUCGUAGAUAUUCGCAAGAACACCAGUGGCGAAGGCGGCUCACUGGCCCGAUACUGACGCUGAGGUGCGAAAGCGUGGGGAG